rnacentral:lncRNA from 1 species
ACAAAUGAGACAAGAACACAUGUACAAAAUAAUAUUGUAUUAAUGAAAUUUAGAGUUACAAUCUCUGUAUUGAAUCCUCUGAUUUGAUCUCCAAAGUGUGUAAAGAAAAUAUGUGUUUGAUACAAGGGUCGUAGAGACUUGAUCUUGAUCAAACGGGUAGCAUGAAGCUUGUUUAGUGUUUGGAAUUUUUCUACGGUGAAGGAACCGGCACGUAUUUGUUGUGCUUGGUGGCUCUUCCAAAGUAGGGUGAAGAAUGCAGAGAGUUUUCUGUUUCUUCUGAGUGCUAGGUUUUUUCUGACCCCUUCUUUCGUCUUGAGGCCUCCUAUUUAUAGGCUCUUGUAGGAUGCUUGACCUAAAUAACUUUCCCUAUUUAAAAUCUUGUUUUGUGGGAUUUUGAUUUGAUUUAAAUCAAUUCCCAUAAUCUAGCAAUUUAACCAGAUUGUCUUCAAUUGAUUGACCUGAUUAAUAUUUGAUUUAAAUCAAAGUCAACCACAGAAGAUUCUUUUCUUUAAUCUUGUCUUCAUCUUGAACCGUUUGAUGCACUCCGUUGGAUGUCGCCAUGUGUUAUUUUUUGAUAACUAAUCAGAUUUUGAUGAGUCACACGCCACGUGGACGAAUUACGGGGCUCACGAUUUAAUCCACCGAACCCUAAUUAUUUUCUUGUCCAAUAGAAUUUAUUGCACCAAAAUUUCUUUGUCUACAAAUUGCCCUCACUUCAUGAUGCAUUGUAGACAUGUGCUUUGUCACAUGUAGGAGGUACAGCUUGAAGUGUUACUUCUUCAUGUCUUUCCAAUAAUUUGGAUUGCUUCCAACGUGGAGCUUUGAAAGUUACUCUUUUUUUUUUUUGGAGAAUAAUAUGAAACUUAAUAAUAUCCAAUGAACCCUAUUUCCAACGUUGGCUUUUUAUUUCCCACGUUGGUUUCCCCCCCCCUUUUUUUUUUUUUGGGUUGAUAUUAUUAAGCUUAAUAAUAUAUAAUAUUGGUAAGAUCUUGUGAAGCAAGAUACAAAAUCCAAUAUUUUCCUAAACUAGGAACAAGAAACCCUAGCACCAUUAGGAGCUUUGAUGGCUUUUGGCUUCUUUAAAUUGCGCUGUACACAUGGGUAUUUAGAUUAACUAAAUAGAUCAACAAGAACUUCUCUUGUCAGCAAGAAGGUCCACGAAUCUGAGGCUCGCACCAUUUUGAAUUUUCAAUAACCAAUGUGGUGAGACUUGGCAUUUUUGAUUCAUCUCUCAUAUAUGUAUGUGCUUGCUUGCGGCUGUUUGGAGGAAAAGAAGAAACCUGACGUUUCUUUUCUUUUUUGUUUUGUGUGUUUUUUUUAUUUGCACAGCCACAAGAAUUCGCCUCUUGGUCUAUGAAGAAACUAGUUGGUAAGAUUGAAACCAUUCUUUGCUUCAUCCUGUUCUUGCAUCAGCUCUUUUUUUUUCUUUUUUUUUUUGGUUGUUGUGGAAGCAAGAUUGGAAGGUGGAAGGGUUGGCCUGCAUGUGUUGAGCUUGAAGUUGAGGUAGGGAGGCGCUGAGCUCGAAGGGAGGCAUGGGGGCGUCAGGCUUAGUGAGGUGGCCCUGAGCUAUGGUUGGAAGGCGCUGGGCCUUGUGUGUGAAGCAGGCUUGUGCUAGGAGAGGAAGGGCUGGGUCUUGGUGUGACGUGGCACAUGCCUGGGCUAGUGCUGGAGGCAGGCGCGACAUGGGCUCGAAAGGUGGCGCUGGGCCUUGUGCUGGAGCUGGAGGCGCUGGCCUUGGUGUGCGAUAUAGGCUCGAGCUAGGAGAGGAGCUGGGCCUUGGUGUGCGACGUGGGCUGCGCAGGAAGAGAAGCUGGGCUGCAUGCUGGUUGGAGCUGGCGUUGGGCUUGCGCUGAAGCAUCUGCUGGGCCUUCAUCCUGGCUGGGUUGGAAAAGUGGGCAUACUGGGCUGGCCCCAAUUCAGCUCUUUUUUUUUUGCUGCUACACAUCUAUUACUCUUUCAAUUUUUUAUUUUUUUAAAAUGUAUUUUAUAUGAUGAUAUUUAUACAUAUAUAUAUAUAUAUAUAUUUUACAAUAGGUACUUUGAAAGAAAGUGAAGAACGUGGCCAUCCUAUACCGUUUGGGUUUGAUCCAUCUCUCCGACUUGGUGAUAACCCGCUCAAACGCUUAGGCUUUACGUAAGUGGAGGACGAGUGAAGAACGUAGACGUCCUAUACCGCUUGGGUUUAAUCCAUCUCUCCGACUUGGUGAUAACCCGCUCAAGCGCUUAGGCUUUACGUAAGUGGAGGACGAGUGAAGAACGUAGACAUCCUAUACCGCUUGGGUUUGAUCCAUCUCUCCGACUUGGUGAUAACCCGCUCAAGUGCUGAGGCUUUACGUAAGUGGAGGACGAGUGAAGAACGUAGACGCCCUAUACUGCUUGGAUUUGAUCCAUCUCUCCGACUUGGUGAUAACCCGCUCAAGCGCUUAGGCUUUACGUAGGGGAAGACAAGUGAAGAUUGUUUCUCGAGACAUUCCACCUUUACCCCGCUCUUCAAACUUGUACAAGUAAGCUCCUUUUUUUUUGUUUUUUUUUUUGUUUUUUUUGUUUUUUUUUUGUUUUUUAUUUUUUGUUUUUAUUUUUUGUUUUUGUUUUUGUUUUUUUGUUUUUGUUUUGUUUUGUUUUGUUUUUUUUAAUGUAUGAAGUCACUAGCCUGAUACUGAAUAUUGUUUCAUGUUGCUCAUCUUAUACAGAUGGCCUUCUUCAAGUGUUUCAAGAAAGGCACCGUUACUAUUCUUGAGGAAGAAAGUGAUAGCUGGGACGAAGGUACCACAUUGCUUGUAGGUGCGCCUCUCCUAGCUUCGGAAGUAUCUAAGGUGGACAAUUAUCUUCAUAUUCCGUCUUGGUCUCAAGAGGUGUUUUGUCAACUUAGCAGCUUCAAAAAAUCCAAAUCUACAGAUAGGGACCUUCACUCCAUUGUUUUACAGUUAAAGUCCUCGCAUCAUACAGAGAUUGAUUCAUUAGGGGUGUUCGAACUUCUUAGCGAUCAAAUCCAUAAUGGGGCAGUGAAUUGAGGUUCUGUUCUUCCGAUGGCUGGUGAAUCUACAUUUACCGAGUAUUACUGGGAAUGGCUUGAAGAUUUGCUAAGUAGAAAUACCCAGGUUCUUAAGAGCGUCGGUCUAUAUAAUGCAGUGUUUGCCUCAUUAUUUAGCUAUGAUCGACACGCUCCAGUCAUUCGAGCCUUCUGCGAGUACUGAUGUCCUGCGACAAAUACUCUUCAUACAUCGCAAGGAGAAAUGUCUAUUUCCCUUUGGGAUCUUCAUGAAAUCGGCAGUCUCCCUAUUACAGGUUGAUUUUAUGAUGAGGUUAUUCCAACCACUAAGAGUCUCAACAGGAAGGACCAUAAAGGCGUGUCUUAUAUCCCACAUAUUUGUCGCUACUUGUUCUUAGCGUACCACAAAAUUUUACGAGACUCCAAAGGAAAAUCUGGAGUGAGAAUGACUGCUUGGAUAAAGUACUGGUAUCGAGGGUCAUUCAGGUAUAAAAAGUCUUUAAGGAAAACUGUACGGAACAAGUCACAAAAGCCAAAGGAAGACUCUGAUCCAUCUGGUAUCAUUGCGGCGGCACUGAAACUCACUGAGGAAGAGGAAGGGGUUUUUGAAGAUUUGGGUAUAGCUGAUGAAGACAUGGAUAGGUCCUACUUGGCUGCAUUCCUUGCUUGCUGGUUGUGCAAAUUUGUAUUUCCCAAAGACGACGUAACUUUGAUCAGACCAGGGGUUUUCAAAUUUGCCAGUCGAAUGGCGCACGGUGUAUCAUUUAGCCUAGCAGUUCCAGUAUUGGCCAGCAUUUACAAGGGGCUGAAUGAUAUUUCUAGUGCAGAUGAUUCAGGAAAUUGCACAACUGUUCUACCUUUCCAUUAUGUGUAUAGGUGGUUGGGUGAAUACUUCGACACAUAUUUUACAUCAUCUUCUGAGAAGUCCCUUCCCAUCAUGGCAAGGUUCUCAGGAAGACUUUCGGCGAAAUUUUAUGACAAUUCGACAGCUCGAGCUUUGUUCCGGACUUGUGGUAAAGUGAAAAUGAGUCGUCUAGCAAGAGUGUUUUCAGAAUGCAAACAACUGACUGAUGAAGAUCAUAUUUCUAAAGAAGACUUUGAGUAUUUGAUAUGUCUUCGUUCGGGAUUCGUUUCUCUACAACAGGAAAACUACCGAGUCAUCCAAUCUUAUAGCCCGCACCGGUUCAGUAGACAAUUUUGUUAUGUACAACAUGUGCCAGGAGAACUUAAAGAUGACGUCCGGAAUGGGACUGUGCUAUCAGUGUACUCACAUUGAAAAUCAUGCUUGAAGAUUGGCAGUGCAUCUACAAUAACCCUACCUACUAAGGACAAUAUUCGAGAGUUUGAGAUUACAUCCGAUUAUGUUAUUUGGUGGUCGAAGGUGCAUCACUUUGAAUCGACGAAAUCAAAGACAAUCUCAACUGUAGGCAAAUCGUCGUCACUUUCUCAGCCGAAAUCUCUUAAGUCUCAUGGCAAUGAAGUUUUAGUUCAUGAUAAACUCACUCGUGGUAGAGCGCUCCGAGUUCACCCAGAAGUUGAAGGUAGUUCUACUACUCGCGCACCUCGAGUUCAACACCCACCUCCAGUUGAUGUUCCUCCAACUCGAGUCCCUAAUGAUAAAGGAGAAACAGAAAGCGUAGCAGAUUCUCAAGAAGAUUUCAUUCCCCUCGGUCGACGAAUUCGCAAUUUGAAGCGAGGGCAUAUAAGUAGCAAUGAAGACAGUGAAGUCAACUUUAGGCAUAAGAAGACAAGCGUCGGACCUCUCUAUUGUGAUUUGGACGCGGCAUACCCACUUGAUGACAUAUUUUUUUGUGAUGUGCCCGCUGUUUCACAAUCGGUUCUAAUGAAUGAGGUAUGUAUUUUAUUUCGCCUUGAGCUUCCUCUUUUCUAUACAUAUAUAUAUUAAUUAAUUAAUUAAUUAUAUAUUUUAGGGAGAAGUAGUGCAUCAUGUCCCUACUGUGUCUGAGCUUGUACCAUUUAAUCAUUUGCCUGUCGAAGAGGAAGAUGAUGCUUUGUGCCCGAUAAGUGAUUCAGGUGUUAGCCUAAGAGGUACAAUGCCAAUCUUUAUCACGCUCCGUAUUUAGAAAUUUUUGAUUCUACUUGCUUAACCAUUACUCGUAGGUCAAUGUAGGUUUGCUUGCACAACAACAUUUAUUAAAGCCGGCUAAUUAUGCAUCCACUUCUGAAAUGUCAUGUGGGGAGCCCAAAUUAGGUGUUGCAGACAAAACCCUUCACAAAGUAAUCUCCGUUUUAGGAAACCAAGUAAAAAGCAUAAUCUUGAAGGCUUCAUUGGAAAGGCUUCCCUCAUUCAAAGAUGAGCUUAGCAAGUUGAUGACUACUCUUGACAAUGUAGGGGCGAAAGUCUCAUCUUUACAAGCUAUGAUCGAUGCACUUAUGGUGACUGCAGUUGACUAUCAUUCUGCACACUCUACUUACUCCCAAAAGCUAUCUCCCAAGGCUCAGAGCGAUCGUUUAGCCGCAGUUGACUCUUCACUUUCUAUUGCCUUGGCUCUGCAACAAGCUGAAGAAGUUCAUCAGUCUUCUAUACUUCUGUCUAUUCAAUCUGCCAAUACGCGUAUGGAGGAGUUGAAGAGGGAACAAGAACAAUUGGAGUUAAGAUUGCUUCAACUAAACGGAUCACUUUUAGAGAGUGAUGCACAACUUUCUUAUCAUCAUGGUGAAGUCACCCGCUUGAGAGAGGAUAAGACUGCGGUUGAAGGAGCUCCUGUACUAUCAGCUGCAGAUGCCGAUACUUUAGAUACAUUACGAGUUUCCUUUAAGAGACCGCGUAACGGCUUCAAGGAUUUGUCUUGGGAAUAGCAAAUUCUGUUGUUGUAAACUCUCUUUGCUUUAUUAUAUUUCUCUUUGAACUUGUCAAAGUGUUGAUGCUUACUAAUUAACUUUCAUGAUGAAAUAAAAGCAUUUUCUUAUUUCAUCAUUUUUUUGAAUGGUUCGGAUUGAUGGAAGAAACCCUUUGUUUUUAUUUUGAUGUGACUGAACUUGGAAUUAUUUGUCCAAGCUGCCUACAUACCCUCGAUGAAAAGGGAUCAAGUCAUCAUGUAGUUCAAGGGAAUUUUUUUUUUGUGUCCUAACUUUUGCUUGAACCGCCCUUUUGGGUUUUCAGUUCAAUGGACUUUCUUGUGCUCCAAUUUUUUGCUUAAACCGCCCUUUCGGGUUUUCAAUCCAACGAGCCACUUCUUUUCUUUUUUUUUUUGGCGGGUGCCGUACGCAAUUUAGGCUCAUGCGGGCCAGGAGCUGGCAGUCACUUCAUGCAUAGUAUCGUUUCAAGAAUUUUUCGUUGAUAGGGCGAAUUCUUAAACCAUCCUCCGCUACAAUCUUGUAAACGCCACUUGUGUAUACUUCUUGUACUACGUAGGGCCCAUCCCAUUUCGAAGUAAACUUGCUUUCGGUUUUGUGUGUUGUGAUGAUAGGUCUACGUAAUGCGAGGACGAGAUCUCCCACCUGAAAAGAUCUGGGGUGUACUUUCUUGUUAAAAGCAUUUGAAAGCCGAGCUUGAUAACACUCUAAGCGUUUUUGCGCUUCGAGUCUCUUUUCAUCUAGUGCUUCUAACUCUUGGGGACGUAACUUCGCAUUCUCUUCAUCAGUCAAUCCCUCUUGUAUGGCCAUCCUCAAUGAUUGAAGUUGACUUUCUAGAGGCAAGACUGCUUCCACGCCAUACACGAGUGAGUAUGGUGUAGCCUGAGUAGGCGUCCGGUAUGUCGUCCGAUAAGCCCACAAUGCUUCAUUUAUCAUUUCAUGCCAAUCUUUCUUGGUUCUUCCAACAACUUUCUUUAACAGGCUGCGAAGAGUUUUGUUGAACGCUUCCACAAGAUCGUUGGCUGGGGCAUUGUACAUUGAAGAGUUGCUUUGUUUGAAACCAAAGUCUCCACACAAUUUAUUCAUCAACCGAUUCGAGAAUGGCUUUCCAUUAUCUGUGAUGAUGUAGCGUGGCACACCAUACCGAUUAAUGAUGUUUACCUUGAUGAAGCUCACUACAUUUUCUUUCUUCACUUCCUUUAGAGGCACAACUUCCGCCCAUUUUGAGAAGUAGUCUGUGGCUGCAAGGAUGUAAGAAUGACCGUCGAAAGAUUUAGGUGCUAUUGGUCCCACCACAUCAAGACCCCACGCAUCAAAUGGCCAUGAAGUAAUUGUAGGAUGUAGCGGCUCCGGCAGUUGGUGGAUAAAGUUGGCAUGGAAUUGACAUACUUGGCAUUUCUUCACAUAAUCCAUGCAAUCCUUGACCAUAAUCGGCCAAUAAUAGCCCAUCCUUUUUAUUUGGAAAUGUAGCUUUGGCCCUGAUUGAUGUGCUCCACAAAUUCCUGAGUGAGCCUCCUCCAUUGCUUUGAAUGCAUCUUCUUCGUCCAAGCAUCUUAGAAAUACGCCUUCAAAUGAACGACGGUAGAGAAUUUCUUUGUAAUAAAUGAAUCGAGGUGCCCGACGUCGUACCUCUGAUCGAUGUCUUGAAUCAUCUGGCAGUUUUCUAUGCUCAAGAUAAUCAAUUAAAGGUUGUCUCCAGUCGUCAACGUCAAUGGACAGUACCGAGAUAACGUUGACUCCUUCUUGCGAUGUCCCAAGCGUUAAUGGAACUACCCAACGUUGGCAAACUGGAAGAUUUAUUGCUUCAUCUUUUGUCAAUGCCAAUGUAGCGGCAAGGUUGGCUAAGACAUCUGCCAUUUGGUUAUCUUUUCUUGGCACAUGCUCCAGCGUCACAAAAUCAAACCUUUCUAGUAAUUGCGUGGCUAAUUGGUGGUAUGGAAUUAGAUCAUCCUUUCUAACUUCGUAGUGAGUCAACAUUUGGUUGAUCACUAACAUGGAGUCACCAUAUACUUCUAGGCUCGAUAUCUUCAUCUCGAUGGCCAUUUGUAAGCCCAUGAUCAAAGCUUGGUAUUCUGCAACGUUGUUCGAGCAAAGUUCACUUAAGGAGAAUGAAUAGGGCAAUACGUGUCUCUCGGGUGAUACGAAGACUACGCCAGCCCUCGCCCCGUCUUUACGAGCCGAUCCAUCAAAGAACAUCAUCCAAGCAGGAGAAACGUCAGCGAAGAAGACUUGUUGGUCGGGUAAGUCAUCUGAAAUUUCCCAGUCUGCUGGAAUUGGAUGAUUGGCUAGGAAGUCUGCAACAGCUUGCCCUUUAACCGCCUUUGCUGUAGUGUAGAUGAUUUCAUACUGAUUGAGAAGUAACGCCCACUUGGCCAAACGCCCCGUCAAAACUGGUUUUGACAUAACGUACCUCACCGGGUCAGCUCGUGCAAUUAGAUGGACCUUGAAUGCUUGCAUGUAGUGCCUUAACUUUUGGAUAGCAAAAACAAGUGCACGACACGUCUUUUCUAUAGGCGUGUAGUUUAGUUCGGGACCAGUAAGCGUUCGGCUUAGAUAGUAGAGUGCUUGCUCUUUGUGUGACUCAUUCUUUUGGGCUAAAAGGGCUCCAAUUGACCUUUCUUGAGCCGCAAUAUACAAUUUGAGUUGUUUGCCAGGAAUAGGAGCUCCUAACAGUGGUGAACUCGAUAGGUACUUCUUUAUGCUUUCAAAGGCAUUGUGACAAGCUUCAUCCCAAACAAAUGGAACAUCCUUUUUCAUAAUGCGACUGAAUGGCUGACACCUCCCUGCUAAGUUUGAGAUGAAGCGCUGAAUAAACGCGAGGCGUCCUUGUAAACUUUUCAACUCACGUAAAUUUCUUGGCUCUGGCAUAUCUCGGAUGGCUUUAAUCUUAGUCUGAUCUACUUCGAUGCCUCGAUGUUUAACGAUAAAACCAAGGAAUUUACCUGACAUGACGCUGAAAGCACACUUCAAAGGGUUCAUCUUGAGUUGGUACUUCCGCAAUAUGUUAAACACCGUUCUCAAAUCUUUCAAGUGAUCUUAUCUUCUUUUUGACUUGAUCACCAAGUCAUCAACGUAGCACUCGACAUUCUUGUGAAGCAUGUCACCAAAGAUCUUUGCAUUGCAUGUUGAUAGGUUGCACUGCAUUUUUGAGGCCAAAUGGCAUCACUUUGUAACAGUAAAUUCCUUUUGGAAUGCGGAAGGCUGUGAGUUUUUCGUCCUCUGGCGACAUUCUUAUUUGAUUGUAUCCAGAUGAACCAUCCAUGAAAGAUAAUGCUUCAUGACCUGUGGUUGCAUCGACCAUGAGCUCAAUUAUGGGCAAUGAAAAGUCAUCCUUUGGGCAAGCCUCGUUUAAGUCUCGGAAGUCAACACAAAUACGAAUUUGUCCAGUGAUUUUCUUCUUCAUCGGAACAAUGUUCGCUAUCCACAUCGGGUAUUUCACCUCCUUAAUAAAUCCGGUGGCGAUCAACUUGUCAACUUCGGCUUCGAUUUGACUUAGGAGCUCCAGACGGAAGUGACGUUGAAUUUGUUUGAUUGGACGUGUUCCAGGUUUGACUGCUCAUCUUUUCUUGGUAUGGCCUGGCCAGUUAAGUGAACCUCAACAGGAAUAACUUCAGAUGCCACGUCUUCAUCGAUGUAGAACUUGGCGUCGGCAAAAUAGGAUUCGGCUUCGGUAAAUGGCUUGACAUCACCUAGGAUUUUCUUCACUCCACCUCUGUAAAAUUUGAAACAUUGAUGUAAAGUUGAAGGUACUAUCCCAUUUUCAUGUACCCACGACCUUCCUAAGAGAAGAUUGUAGGAAGUUUUAGCAUCAAUCACGUGAAAUAAGGUGUUUGACUUUAAGUCACCUAUCACGAGCUCAUUUCUGAUAAUGCCCAUGGCUCUUUGCCCUCCUUGAUUGAAGCCUUGAAUCAUGAGACGACUUCGAGACAAUUCAUCCACGGUGAUGCCUAACUUUAUCAUUGUGGAUUUAGGCUUUAUGUUUACUGCUGAACCUUCAUCCACGAGCAUGCGACUAAGUUUCUGUUCUCGUACAUACCCGAACACGAAAAGCGGACGGUUGUGUGGUUUGGACCCUAACAAAAGAUCUUCAUCGGUGAAUGUGAUGGAAGCACAUGUCGCACAACAGAUAACACGGUCUUAAGACUCAGGCUCUAAUUUUUUGGCCUCUCUUAUUUGAUUUGGAUGAAUAUUGACUUCCAUCAACGUCUUUACCAAUGAUAUGUGUAUUGCUUCAGGAAGUUCCACCACUUCCUCAAUAUUGAAGUGCGAUGGUGAAUCUUCUACCUGUGUUAGGACCUUUUGCUCUUCAUGAGUUUCAGAUCUUCCUUUCGAGGCAUCUUCGUCAUCUACUUGAUAGCAAGUUGUCAUAUGAACAGUCUCCGUUGGUCCUCUUACGAAGAACAUUUUGGGAAAGUAUACUUCUAGCGUAAUUGGAAUUCGUGGUUCUUGGAUUAGUGGUCCACUUUCUUGGCCAGAAUCUCUCUUCACCAUUAUUCUGGUUUUGGUUUUAGAGCGUUUGUGCGAACUCCUUUUUCGCCGCUCCCUUUUUGAUUGAGUAUUUUGUUGUUGAGGAAUGCGCUUCGUACGAGGUUUCCGCCGGGUAACGAGCGUCCAUCCUUCAUUGUCAUCGAAAGAUGAGUCACCAACGAAGCCAUCACCACCUUGAUUGUUCGGUUUGCCCGCCACUUCUUUUGUACACGGAUCAGUCACUUGGUGUAUGCCCCUUGUUGAUUGGAAUUCCAAUCUUUUCGACAAUGCGGGCAGCGGCACCGGAUCGAAAGAUUCAAACACAAUUGUGGCAACGUUCGCGUCUGCGAUUUUGUCAACGUCCAACUCAAUCCUUCUUUGCCUAGCCAAGUUCAUAAUUAGCUCCUUCAACACGAAGCACUUCUCUACCGGAUGGCUGACAAUUCGGUGGUAUUUGCAAAACUUAGGGUCGUUGACUCGGUUCAUCUCUUCAGGCAGCUUACAUUCCGCCAAUUCGAUCACCUUUUUUUCAAGCAAGUCCUCGAGCAUACCUGCGACAUCGGAGUCAGGGAAGGGGUAUGGUUUUUUCCUCUAACUCCUUCAAAGUGCGUCGACGUCUAUCCACUUCUCGAGAUGGCUCCAUCCUUUUAACUUCUUUCUUCUUGUCUCAGGUGGAGAUUUUGACGGGGACGGUGUUUAUUGUUAUUGCUUCCUUGGUAGGCUUCUUGACAGGCUUAUCUGUCUUUUAUCUAAAGACUUUCUCCUUUCUUUGCUCCAUGACGGGCUCAUGCUUUCCUCCGUGACUAGCUAUACAUAACUCCAUAUCAUGGGCACGAGUGGCUAGCUCCUCAAACGUGUGGGGUUUAAUUCCUUGUAGAAUGUAAAGUAACCCCCAAUGCAUCCCUUGAAUACACAUCUCAACCGCCGAUAACUCCAAAAGCCCAUCUUUGCAAUCCAGGCUUAACGAGCUCCAUCGAUUGAUGUAAUCGACGACAGGUUCAUCUUUCCAUUGCUUGGUAUUUGUGAGUUCCAUCAUACUCACAGUGCGACGAGUGCUAUAGAAUCUGUUCAAGAAUUCUCGCUCCAUCUGAUCCCAACUGUCAAGGGAAUCGAGCUCCAAGUCUAUAUACCAAUCAAAUGCAUUUCCUUUCAAGGAACAAACAAAUUGUUUCACCAGGUGGUCACCCUCUGUCCCGGCAUUAUUGCAUGUUUCGACGAAGUGUGCAACAUGUUGUUUUGGGUUGCCCUUUCCAUCGAACUGUUGGAAUUUGGGAGGUUGAUAUCCUGUUGGCAUCCGCAAGUUGUCUAUCCUCCUGGUGUAUGGCUUAGAAUACAUGAGCGUAUCUCGGGAAGGUGCUCCGUAUUGAACCUUGAUGGUGUUUGCGAUCAUGUCCUGAAGUUGUUGGACCGACAAAGAACCCACUGAGGCGGCGUCAACUUUUCCGUGUGACUUCUCACCCAACUUUGUUUCAUGACCCAAUCCUUUCUCGCUGGAUUCAGCCUCAUGAUGUGGUCCUUUCUUGUGUGCGUCUUGACUAGGCUCCUUAUCCUGAUGCACUUCCCACUUGUUGAUGAGAGAAGCAAUCUGCGCUUCCUUCUCCUCGACCAUCUUAGUCAGUUUCGUGACCGCUUUCGCUCAUAUGGGCCAGCUGUUCUUCAAUAGACAUAGCUCCCGUCACCAUGACCUGCAUAGCCAUAGAAUAAGACUCACCUACGGAUGCCGAGGUAAGCUUCUUCUGUUGAUCGUCAGGCGAAGAUCCAUGGUGUGGUCCUUUCUUGUGUGCGUCUUGACUAGGCUCCUUAUCCUGAUGCACUUCCCACUUGUUGAUGAGAGAAGCAAUCUGCGCUUCCUUCUCCUCGACCAUCUUAGUCAGUUUCGUGACCGCUUUCGCUCAUAUGGGCCAGCUGUUCUUCAAUAGACAUAGCUCCCGUCACCAUGACCUGCAUAGCCAUAGAAUAAGACUCACCUACGGAUGCCGAGGUAAGCUUCUUCUGUUGAUCGUCAGGCGAAGAUCCAUGGUAUGAGCCUGUGCUCGAGUCAGCGUCUGAAACAUGCGAGAGUGAGCGUUCUCUCGAAUUCUUCGAACCCAAAAAACUCCUCCCUUCACUCCGAGAGUUUCUCUCAUCCGCCCGAGAAGUAUUCUUCUUUUGCCCCAAUGAGGCCAAAUUGAUAACCGGUUUGCGCCUUCGGUGAACAUCUCUCGCCUUGGCUUGAGUCGGUAUGGAAGUAACAUGUUGAGUUGCGGAUAUCGCCUUGGCCUUGCUCCGGGUGAUGACCCCAGCAGAAUCUCCACUUGAGAAGGAGGCGCUCAUGCUUUUGCCUCUCGUCGUGGGAACAGAUUGAAUCUUCUUGGAAGCCAUCGUUUUUUGUGUGUUGAUUGAUUUUGGAACUGGAGAAAGAGAUGAGAGGCAGAGAUGGUCCCACUGGGCGUGCCAAAUUUGUAAACACGAAUUUCCUGCGACAAAUGAGACAAGAACACGUGUACAAAAUAAUAUUGUAUUAAUGAAAUUUAGGUUUACAGUCUCUGUAUUGAAUCCUUUGAUUCGAUCUCCAUGGUGUUUAAAGAAAAUAUGUGUUUGAUACAAGGGUCGUAGAGACUUGAUCUUGAUCAAACGGGUUGCACGAAGCUUGUUUAGUGUUUGGGAUUUUUUUAUGGUGAAGGAACAUGCAUGUAUUUGUUGUGCUUGAUGGCUCUUCCAAAGUAGGGUGAAGAAUGCAAAGAGUUUUCUGUUUGUUUUGAGUUCUAGGUUUUUUUCGACCCCUUCUUUCGUCUUGAGGCCUCCUAUUUAUAGGCUCUUGUAGGAUGCUUGGCCUAAAUAACUUUUCCUAUUUAAAACCUUGUUUUGUGGGAUUUUGAUUUGAUUUAAAUCAAUUCCCAUAAUCUGGCAAUUUAACCAGAUUAUCUUCAAUUGAUUGACCUGAUUCAUAUUUGAUUUAAAUCAAAGUCAAUCACAGAAGAUUCUUUCCUUUAAUCUUGUCUUCAUCUUGAACCGUUUGAUGUACUCCGUCGGAUGUCGCCAUGUGUCAUUUUUUGACAACUAAUCCGAUUUUGAUAAGUCACACGCCACAUGGACUAAUUACGGGACCCACGAUUUAAUCCACUGAACCCUAAUUAUUUUCUUGUCCAAUGGAAUUUAUUGCACCAAAAUUUCUUUGUCUACAACAUGUUAAGAGCAAAAGAUGUCGUCUUGCUCCUGAACAUCCAUGGGUUAUGCUAUGUUCUCAUCCCUUCUUCAACAUACAUCAUUGCUUUUUAAGUCUAAGUGAUUGGAAAGUUCAUAAAUUGCUUUUUAAGUCUAAAUAAUUUAUCUUGUUUGAUAUGGAUCCAUAUCUAAUGUGGGAAAGAGAGAGAAAAGAAGGUGUUUCUUGCGGCGGGGAGGAGGGGGUUCGCCGGAGUGGUUGGGUGUUUUUUUUUUUUUUUUGGGGGUCUGAUUUUUGUUUUAUCUUUUAGAAUUAGUUUUGACCCCAAAAAAAAAAUCUUUAAGAAUUAGUUUUUGUGUUUUCCACAUUGAUAAAAGAAACAGGAGAAUUGGACUGGUUUAUCAAGGGAAAAUAUGGAAACACAAUUAAUAUUUUUUCUGUAAUUAAAAACAUUGAUUUAAGUGAAAGAGAAGUGACACGUGUCAUGAAGAGAAGAGAGAAUGUCUAAAAGAGAAGGUUAGAGAGAAGAUUGCUAACAUUCCUCUUUGAGCUAAUUGUUUAGAUUGAGUCUUUGUUUGAUUGGUC